rnacentral:lncRNA from 1 species
UGAAAUCUUCGAUAAUAUUGGUUCUGACUCGUCUUUACAUAAUCUUCGCAGUGUCUCUGGUUAGACCGAACUCUUCAGAGAUAAAAGAGUUCGAAGACUUUUUGGCAGGGAAGAUUACGGAUGCAAGUGAAGAGCCUCCGACUGAAGAAUCUCCCCGAGCCGAUCCCAUCAUUACCGAUCCACCCACUGUUUUUCCUCAG